rnacentral:rRNA from 1 species
GAGUUUGAUCAUGGCUCAGAACGAACGCUGGCGGCAGGCCUAACACAUGCAAGUCGAACGCUCCGCAAGGGGAGUGGCGCACGGGUGAGUAACGCGUAGGAAUCUACCUAUUAGUUCGGGAUAACAGCGGGAAACUGCUGCUAAUACCGGAUACGCCCUACGGGGGAAAGUUUUUCGCUAAUAGAUGAGCCUGCGUUGGAUUAGCUUGUUGGUGGGGUAAUGGCCUACCAAGGCUCCGAUCCAUAGCUGGUCUGAGAGGACGACCAGCCACACUGGGACUGAGACACGGCCCAGACUCCUACGGGAGGCAGCAGUGGGGAAUAUUGGGCAAUGGGCGCAAGCCUGACCCAGCCAUGCCGCGUGAGUGAUGAAGGUCUUCGGAUUGUAAAGCUCUUUCAGUGGUGAAGAUGAUGACAGUAGCCACAGAAGAAGCCCCGGCUAACUUCGUGCCAGCCGCCGCAGUAAG